AUCUUUGCGUUUAGGGCAAUGACGCAGCUAGUGAGGUACUAACCGAGGCGCGUCUAUUGCUGGUUGAAAACUAUUUUCUGACCCCCUCGGGAGCUGCGGCGAUGAUCGAGAAUUUCUGGAAGGGCUUCCUUCCUUCGGGGUAAAGCC
rfam:Arabis alpina cultivar Pajares chromosome 2, whole genome shotgun sequence.